UAAGAGAGUCAUAGUUACUCCCGCCGUUUACCCGCGCUUUUUUGAAUUUCUUCACGUUGACAUUCAGAGCACUGGGCAGAAAUCACAUUGCGUCAUCACCCGUGAGGGCCAUCGCAAUGCUUUGUUUUAAUUAGACAGUCGGAUUCCCCUAGUCCGUGCCAGUUCUGAGCUAAGCGUUGAAUGGCGGCCGAAGAAGCGACCACGACGGCGUAACCGCCACGGAAGCCUCGCAGCAAGGAAGAUCCGCGGGAGGCCAAGGCACGGGACCGAGCUCGGAUCCCGGGACGCGACCGAAGUCGCCAACCGUUCACCUCGCCCAGGCCCGGCACGUCAGCCAGACCCGCUUCCCGACCAAGCCCGACACGCCCCGCUCCUCAGAGCCAAUCCUUAUUCCGAAGUUACGGAUCCAAUUUGCCGACUUCCCUUACCUACAUUAAUCUAUCGACUAGAGGCUCUUCACCUUGGAGACCUGCUGCGGAUAUGGGUACGAACCGGCGCGACACCUCCACGUGGCCCUCUCCUGGAUUUUCAAGGUCCGAGGGGAAGAUCCAGACACCGCCGCAACUGCGGUGCUCUUCGCGUUCCAAACCCUAUCUCCCUGCUAGAGGUUUCCAGGGAACUCGAACGCUUAUACAGAAAAGAAAACUCUUCCCAGAUCUCCCGACGGCGUCUCCAGGUCAUUUUGGGUUACCCCGACGAACACUCUUACGAGGGCCCGAAUGGUAUGCGGUUCCGCUGCCGGGUUCCGGAAUAGGAACCGGAUUCCCUUUCGCCCAAUGGGUGUGCAUCUCUGCAACUAUUGUGUUAUAUUAAUUCGAUUUAGCCAUAUUUAACAGUUUUGUUUUGUUGCCAUUUAUCUGAGAGCUUUAGGACACCUCAUUUACAUAGGAUUUCUCUUAGGGCUUAGGAUCGACUGACUCGUGUGCAACGGCUGUUCACACGAAACCCUUCUCCACGUCAGUCCUCCAGGGCCUCGCUGGAGUAUUUGCUACUACCACCAAGAUCUGCACCGACGGCGGCUCCAGGCAGGCUCACGCCCAGACCCUUCUGCGCACACCGCCGCGACCCUCCUACUCGUCAGGGCUUCAUGGAGGACCAAAUUUUGUCCAGCCCCACUUGCCACUGACGGCGGAGUAUAGGCGCGACGCUUCAGCGCCAUCCAUUUUCAGGGCUAGUUGCUUCGGCAGGUGAGUUGUUACACACUCCUUAGCGGAUUCCGACUUCCAUGGCCACCGUCCUGCUGUCUUAAGCAACCAACGCCUUUCAUGGUAUCCCAUAAGCGUCGACUUAGGCGCCUUAACUCUGCGUUUGGUUCAUCCCACAGCGCCAGUUCUGCUUACCAAAAUUGGCCCACUUGGCACUCUGAUCCAAUAAUAAAAUCUCAUGGCUUCAUUUGAUGCAAGCAAGCCAGAGAUCUCACCCAUUUAAAGUUUGAGAAUAGGUUGAGGUCGUUUCGGCCCCAAGGCCUCUAAUCAUUCGCUUUACCAGAUGAGACUCGCAAUAACGUUUCGAGCGAGUGCCAGCUAUCCUGAGGGAAACUUCGGAGGGAACCAGCUACUAGAUGGUUCGAUUAGUCUUUCGCCCCUAUACCCAGUUCCGACGAUCGAUUUGCACGUCAGAAUCGCUACGGACCUCCAUCAGGGUUUCCCCUGACUUCGUCCUGACCAGGCAUAGUUCACCAUCUUUCGGGUCCCAACGUGUACGCUCUAGGUGCGCCUCUUCUCGCAAUGAGAACGAGACGCCCCGGGAGUGCGAGGCCUAAUCGUAACGAGGCCCAUCCUCCCUAGGUCGACACAGAGGACGACAUUCACUUUCAUUUCGCCUUUAGGUUUAUUUAUAUCCCAAUGACUCGCGCACAUGUUAGACUCCUUGGUCCGUGUUUCAAGACGGGUCCUGAGAGUACCCAAAGCAAUAGCGUCGCCGACCGGUAAUUCAAAGCUUGGCCAGUCCAAGGACUCCUCCUGCUAACAGCUGGCCAGGCCCGGGGACGGCGCAUAGUCCGUACAUCCGGGUAUUAUAACUGAACCUAGCUUGCGGCGGUCCUGACGCACACACAUUCGAAAAUGGAUUGGUUGCGGCCCGAUACCGUCUGAGUACCGUCGCGCAGUCGGCCAGGCAACCGAGGGUCUGUCACGAACGCCGUUAAAGCGACGGACAGGCUCCGCCUCGGACCGUAGACCGACACGCAACGGGUCGCGACGUUCUACUAGGGCAGAAGUGCACGACUACCUCGCCGGAACGUUCGCCGAAGGUGGCGUGCCCUCGCUAAUGGAACCCGAGGGUCCAUCCGGGGCAUCGCGCACCAACGGGAGCCAGCGUGGUUGACGAUGAAUCUCCCCAUUCGAUCUUUUGGGUUUCUCAGGUUUACCCCUGAACGGUUUCACGUACUCUUGAACUCUCUCUUCAAAGUUCUUUUCAACUUUCCCUCACGGUACUUGUUCGCUAUCGGUCUCGUGGUCGUAUUUAGCCUUAGAUGGAGUUUACCACCCACUUAGGGCUGCACUCUCAAGCAACCCGACUCUAAGGAGAGAUCCUCCCGAAACGCGUACCGGUCACUACGGGCCUGGCACCCUCUAUGGGUAAAUGGCCCCAUUCAAGAUGGACUUGGACGCAAUUCGAUGUCUCGGGAUAAACGGAUCCUCCUGAACACUACAUUUCCCAGCGGCGGUACCGCGGGAUUCAGUGCUGGGCUCAUUCCUGUUCGCUCGCCGCUACUAAGGAAAUCCUAGUUAGUUUCUUUUCCUCCGCUUAAUAAUAUGCUUAAAUUCAGCGGGUAAUCUCGCCUACUCUGAGGUCGUCAAUUUCUUUGGUUUCAUCGAAAGGUGAAUAUGAUGCUCGAUGCAAAAAAAAAUAAAAAAAUAAACGAAAAGAAGCAAAAAAGCAAACACG